AUUUAAUUGCUUUACAGAUAACUACGUAGAUGCCGUCUGGAGUUGUAUUUAUUUGUAGCCAGGUCCGAAAUGAAGAUCAAAAAGCAGCAAGGCAGUAGUCGCCUGAUCCAUCAGCAGUCACAGAUGUGUCCAGAACUGAGAGAGCCUGCCCUCCACUCAGACUUGUCCCUCAAGACAACAAAAGGCUCAAUAUCAGAAAAUCGAAAGAGAAGAACAGGCAUACCUGGUCUCUCAGGCACCAAGUGAAAACAUCAUUGCCAAUUUCUUUCAAAAGAAGUUGUUCCAUUGCCACAUUUCUUUCCUAUUUAACAGCAAAGCAAGCAUGAGUCAAGAAAGAAGAGUGCGAGAAGGGAAGAACUGCAGAGACACCUCCAAAUGGCCGGUCCUCUGUGUCAGGAAUGCUGGGCCUUGGUGGCGUCUCACAGGUGAUUGUGUCUGGCCCAUGGAAAACAGCACACAGAACUACCUCCCUGGGCAGGGCCAUCAGCUUUCUUUCCAGGCAAUACCCAUUGGACUGGGAGAAACCUGCAAGCUGCAACUACACAAGCUGGAGCUUCAGACUGAAUUUUAGCUGCUGCGUCAGACAUCUCAGGGAUGGCAAGAACCUCAGUCUCUCCCAUUCUUCUGGACUCAAACAUUCCCGGGAACAUGGCCCCUGUUAUCGCCCAUGUGUGUGGACCGGACCCAAGGUUGGGAUGGGCUUCUCAUCAAGGGACUGCUUUCUGGUUGAGGUGAACCACAGCAGCUGAUGGGCGUGGUCAUUCCCUGAUAUGGCUUGACUCUGUGUCCCCAUUCAAAUCUCAUCUCAAAUUAUAAUCCCCCCAUAUUGAGGGAAAGAUCUGGUGGGAGGUGAUUGGAUCAUGGAGGCAGUUUCUCCCAUGCUAUUCUCGUGAUAGUGAGUUCUCAUGAGAUCUGAUGGGUAAAAAGUGACACUGCCCCCUUCUCUUUCUCUUUCUCUCUCUCCUGUUGCCUUGUGAAGAAGGUGCCUGCUUUCCCUUCACCUUCUGCCACAAUUGUAAGUUUCCUGAGGUCCUCCCCGCCAUGCGGAACUGUAAGUUAAUUAAACCUCUUUUGUUUAUAAAUUACCCAGUCUCAGAGAGUUCUUUAUAGCAGUGUGAAAAUGGUCUAAUAAAGAAAAUUGGUAGGAGGAUAGUGAGGUUCUGCUAUAUAGACAACCUGAAAAUGUGAAAGUGACUUUGGAACUGGGUAAUAAGUAGAUGUUGGAACAGUUUGGAGGGCUCAGAAGAAGAGAGGAAGAUGUGGGAAAAUUUGGAAAUUCAUAGAGACUUGUUGAAUGGCUUUGACCGAAAUGCUGACAGUGAUAUGGACAAUGAAGUCCAGGCUGAGGUGGUCUCAGAUGUAGAUGAGGAACUCACUGGGAAUCGGAGCAAAGGUCACUCUUGCUACACUUUAGCAAAGAGACUGGUGGCAUUUUUCCCCUGCCCUAGGAAUCUGUGGUACCUUGAACUCUGGAGAGAUGACUUAGGGGAGAAAUAAGAAAUUUCUAAGCAGCAAGGCAUUCAAGUGACCUGGCUUUUUCUAAAAGCAUAUGCAUUCACAAAGAGAUGGUUUGAAAUUGGAACUUAUGUUUAAAAGGUAAACAGAGCACAAAGGUCGAAAAUUUGCAGCCUGUGAUAGAAAAGAAAUACUCAUUUUCUGGGGAGGACUUCAAAGCCCUAGCCAGCUGCUGGAAUUUGUCUAAGUAAUGAGGAGCCAAAUGUUAAUAGCCAAGACAAUGAGGAAAAUGUCUUCAGGGCAUUUCAGAGAGCUUUAUGGCAGCUCCUCUUAUCAUAGGUCCAGAGGCCUAGGAUGAAAAAAUGGUUUCAUGGGUCAGGUCCAGGGCCCUGGUGCUCUGUUCAGCCUCAGGACAAGGUGCCCUGCAUCCAAGCCACUCCAGGUCCACCCAUGGCUAAAAGGGGCCAGGGUACAGCUUGGGCCAUGGCUUCAGAUGGUACAAGCCCCAAGACUUGGUGGCUUC
rnacentral:lncRNA from 10 species